UUCCACAUUGGUAAAUGGUGUUGGCUGAAUUAAGAGUAAUAGAAAGCAGUUACCCCUGGUUAUAUGAGGGAGGAAGAGAGAGUGGGAUAAACAGUAAUAGAUGAAACCCAAACCUUGUUAUUGGAACAAUGAAACAAUCCUUAAUGAAAAUAAUAGGGGAAAUCUGGACUUUAGGAACCACAGUAAUAGACUGAAAUGCCAUAGACACCCUCUGAUUCUAAAUUCUAAUAAUUUUUUCCAGUUUUCUGAUGAUUUAUCAAGUAACAAGAAGGCAUGACUUUCAAAGAUAGUUAAUAUGGUUCAUAAAAAUAUCAUG
rnacentral:lncRNA from 1 species